GCUGUCAAAUCAAAAAGUUGGUUAUACAUAGGAGUCUUUCUUCUUCUAUUGGAAAGUAUGGCAAGAGCAACAACUUGCAAAGAAGCAAUUCAAAAAUGGGAAGAAGCAAACAAAAAAUCAGCCAGAGAGGCAAAAGAAAUAUACUUAGGAUUCCAGUGGCUUCCAAUCGAAAAAAUGGAUAAUAGCUUAGCUGCACUCAUCAGUGUUGAGAAAUUGUCUCUUUCGACGAACAUGAUCGAGAAGAUAUCCGGAAUAAGUUCUUUAAGAAAUCUCAAAAUUCUUUCUUUGGGUCGAAACUACAUAAAAACCUUCUCCGGAUUAGAAGCAGUUGGCGAUCGCUUAGAAGAAUUGUGGAUUUCUUACAACUUAAUUGAAAAAUUAAAGGGUCUCAACGCGCUCAAAUCCUUAAAAGUACUUUACAUGAGCAAUAAUUUAGUAAAAGACUGGAAUGAAUUUAAUCGUUUGCAAGAGCUUCCAAACCUCCAAGAUUUAUUAUUUACAAAUAAUCCUCUCUGCGAUGUUAUGGAAACAGAAGUCUGGCGGGCCCAAGUUACUAGAAGGUUGCCAGCUUUGAAAAAACUUGACGCCAUACCGAUUGUACGUGUUGGAGAUGAAUAGUUGACUUCUCAGCUAAUUGGAGCAAACUAAUUUGAUAAAGAAACAGUUUGAAAAUUUGCAGGAACAAAUACACGAAGAAAUCCUCAAGGAGUUUUUAAAUAUGAAAGACUGAAAGUUAUGGAAAUUUGUGUUUCCAAAAUAAAAUUAUGCAGACAAAAUUAAACAAAAU